GUUUCCGUAGUGUAGUGGUUAUCACGUGUGCUUCACACGCACAAGGUCCCCGGUUCAAUCCCGGGCGGAAACA